rnacentral:rRNA from 1 species
GAGUUUGAUCUUGGCUCAGAGCGAACGCUGGCGGCAGGCCUAACACAUGCAAGUCGAACGGGCACCUUCGGGUGUCAGUGGCAGACGGGUGAGUAACACGUGGGAACGUGCCCUUUGGUUCGGGACAACUCCGGGAAACUGGAGCUAAUACCGGAUACGCCCUUUUGGGGAAAGAUUUAUCGCCAAAGGAUCGGCCCGCGUCUGAUUAGCUAGUUGGUGAGGUAAUGGCUCACCAAGGCGACGAUCAGUAGCUGGUCUGAGAGGAUGAUCAGCCACACUGGGACUGAGACACGGCCCAGACUCCUACGGGAGGCAGCAGUGGGGAAUAUUGGACAAUGGGCGCAAGCCUGAUCCAGCCAUGCCGCGUGAGUGAUGAAGGCCCUAGGGUUGUAAAGCUCUUUUGUCCGGGAAGAUAAUGACUGUACCGGAAGAAUAAGCCCCGGCUAACUUCGUGCCAGCAGCCGCCGCCGUAAC